rnacentral:rRNA from 1 species
AUUGAACGCUGGCGGCACGCCUAACACAUGCAAGUCGAGCGGUAACAGGAUUAGUAGCAAUACUAGUUGCUGACGAGCGGCGGACGGGUGAGGAAGACGUAGGAACUUGCCUAAUAGAGGGGGAUAACCAAGGGUAACUUUGGCUAAUACCGCAUACAUCCGAGAGAAGAAAGGAGCUGAGAGGCGUCGCUAUUAGCGAGGCCUGCGUGCGAUUAGCUAGUUGGUGAGGUAAGAGCUCACCAAGGCGAUGAUAGGUAACUGGUCUGAGAGGACGGCCAGUCACACGGGAACUGAGACACGGCCCAGACUCCUACGGGAGGCAGCAGUGGGGAGUAUUGGACAAUGGUGGCAACCCUGAUCCAGCGAUGCCGCGUGGGUGAAGAAGGCCUUCGGGUUGUAAAGCCCUUUAGGCCGGGACGAAAGCAGAUGGAGGAAAUGCAAUUUGGUUGACGGUACCGGCAGAAUAAGCACCGGCAAACUCUGUGCCAGCCGCCGCCGUAA